rnacentral:rRNA from 1 species
AUUGAACGCUGGCGGCAUGCCUAACACAUGCAAGUCGAACGAACCCUUCGGGGUUAGUGGCGCACGGGUGCGUAACGCGUGGGAAUCUGCCCUUUGCUUCGGAAUAACAGUUAGAAAUGACUGCUAAUACCGGAUGAUGUCUUCGGACCAAAGAUUUAUCGGCAAGGGAUGAGCCCGCGUAGGAUUAGGUAGUUGGUGGGGUAAAGGCCUACCAAGCCGACGAUCCUUAGCUGGUCUGAGAGGAUGAUCAGCCACACUGGGACUGAGACACGGCCCAGACUCCUACGGGAGGCAGCAGUGGGGAAUAUUGGACGAUGGGCGCAAGCCUGAUCCAGCAAUGCCGCGUGAGUGAUGAAGGCCUUCGGGUCAUAAAGCUCUUUUACCAGGGAUGAUAAUGACAAUACCUGGAGAAUAAGCUCCGGCUAACUCCGUGCCAGCCGCCGCUGUAAUAC